rnacentral:tRNA from 1 species
GCCUGGCUGGCUCAGUCGGUGGAACAUGUGACUCUUGAUCUCGGGGUUGUGAGUUCGAGCCCCACGUUGGGUG